UAUGCACCGGAAAUAACAUAUAUAUUAUAAACUUAAUCAAAUUUGAUCGCAUUUAAAGCCAAACUUCACUGUGUGCUUACAGUUACAGCUGAACAAGAUGUUCUUAUUUUUGAUCACUAUAUUUUUAAUCAAAACAUCACUUAUCUCUUGUGGUGUUUUUCGUGAUGUAAUCGACGACAUAUACUACGCGCAAAAGCUCUGUCACGAUUUAUACACCGACAAUUCCGAAUUACAAGCUUGUUUACAUGAAGGUCUUAUGGAUAAACUUCAUCUGCUUGAUGCAACUGGUAGAAAUAUCCAACUGCCAAGAAUGCAUGCAAUAUAUCGUCCAAUUGCCACACAAUGCGUUGAAAUGUCUCAAACUUACUAUCAAAAUGAGUUUUCUCAAAAAUUCCUACCUUGCUUCCUAGAACAAGCUGCUAAGUAUUUUAGAGAGAAAGAAUUGGAAUGCGAUCAAAUGUAUCCAUUGGAUGGUAAUGACAGAACAUUUGAAACAAUGGAGGAAAUGAUUGAAAAUAAUAAAAACGUUGCGUGUCGAUACAGUUGCGCUGCGGAUAUUAGGAGAAUCUUUACAGAAAACGACGAGUUUAAUCAGGACUCUCUGAGAAUGAAUUCGAAUGUUCCGAUUGAUAUACAAGAAGCAGCAGAAUUGUGCUACGAGCAACACCAGCAAAUUGACAGGUGUAAAAGGAGAGCUUUUAGGGUGAAAUGUUUGCGAAAAGCGUAUCAAGAGGCGCUGUAUGCUAAAAAUAAACCGGAAAUCGUGGAAAUUAACUUUGAUGAAGGCGAAGUUUAUCAUUAAUUAACUGAAGAUGCAAAUUACUACAACAUAAACAUUUAAAACUGUUAAAUUGUGAAAUUAUUUGCUAAUAAAUCAAUGCUUAUUACUUAUGUUGGAAACCAUAGAUUUUCUAUUUAUAAACAAUGCAUUAUUAUUUUGUUUUACAAUUGUAAAUCUAUAAAAUUAAGCAUUGAACUCAUUUUAUAUAAGUUUUUUAUAUUUUUAGAAUACGUGCGGAUGUCUGUAUCAAAAUUCAUUUAUACAUAUUUAAAUGGAAGACGAAACUAUUAGCACCGGUGAAGCAGUGCAUUGCCUUUUUUAUUUUAUUUUUUACAACAAAAAAAAUGAAAAUAAUACACUUAUCAUAUUAAUACUAAUUAAUGAUCCGUGAACUGAUAGCCACAGGUAAAUUACAUCUAACAAUAUGCAUUAAAACGACCGGAAACAACAAAUUUAUAAGAUUUUUCUAAUACUAAAUAAAUUCAAUGUAAUUUAUGGUUUGUUAUCACUAUUGGUGUGACAUCGUACCAAACAAGAUGAAUCUUAUUUCCAUCACAAUUUUGAUACUACAAGCAUUAUUGACAAAUUGCCAUGUAUUUCGUGAUGUAAUUCAUGAAAUUUUUGACGCACACAAAAAUUGCUACAAAACAGACAGACUGAGACCAAUGAGUUGCGAGGAAAAUGUGUGCGUAUUGCAAGAAGUACAUCUCAUAGAUAAUACCGGAAAGAACAUCAACAUGUCAAGGAUGCACGCACAAUAUCGCCCUUUUGCAGAACUUUGCAUCCAAGAGUCACAAUCACAUACGACUUCGACGUGCGAUUUUUUUCACAAAUUUGUGGAAUGUUUUUGGGACAAAGUUGCACAUUAUCAAGGGGCUAAAGUUACUGAUUGCGACACUAAGUAUCCAAUUGAUCCUGCUGAACAGGAUCACUUAUUCGACAUGUCAGAGAAAGCGUUUAAGACUCUAAAAAACUAUGCAUGCGCCUUUAGCUGCGUCAAUGAAAUUAAUGAGAUAUAUACAGAAAACGAUGAAUUCAAUAAAAAUUCUCUAAGACUCCAUUCGAAUUUACCGAUUGAUGUGGAAAAGGAGGCUGAAAAUUGCUACAGGAAACAUCAGCAAAAAAAUAAAUGUCAAAGAAGGGCCAAUAGAGCUGCGUGCUUAAACAGGAAAUAUGAGAAAGUUCUUGAAGCUUCAAAUAUAACCGGAUAUGAGAAUUUAGUUGAUGAAAUUUAUGACUGAUUGUAAAAAACGUUGUUGCUCAUAACCAAUAUCUAAAUUAAUUAAAUAAAUAUGCAAUUUUAAGAC